rnacentral:rRNA from 1 species
UUUCCGUUGGUGAACCUGCGGAAGGAUCAUUG